rnacentral:misc_RNA from 1 species
GAUGAAGAACGCAGCGAAAUGCGAUACUUGGUGUGAAUUGCAGAAUCCCGUGAACCAUCGAGUCUUUGAACGCAAGUUGCGCCCGAAGCCAUCAGGUUGAGGGCACGUCUGCCUGGGCGUCACAUAUCGUUGCCCGAUGCCUAUUGCAGUGCAAUAGGAAUUUCUAGGGCGAAUGAUGGCUUCCCGUGAGCGUUGUUGCCUCGCGGUUGGUUGAAAAUCGAGUCCUUGGUAGGGUGUGCCAUGGUAGAUGGUGGUCGAGUUAGAACGAUACCGAUCAUGUGCAUGCUCCCCAAAAUAUGGCCUCUAUGACCCACACGCGUCUUUUGACGCUCAUGACGAGACCUCAGGUCAGGCGGGGCUACCCGCUGAAUUUAAGCAUAUCAAUAAGCGGAGGA